CUACUGUGUGAUUUCAGUGCUCCCAUCUGGAUUUAUAACUACUACAUAAUUUUAUAACUAAGUCCUAAUUUUAUUGCAUUAAGCAGGUAGAUUUAAUACAUAAAUGUUAGGUUUUGCCAUGUGAAGGUCAAAUGACCAUCUGUACAAAUAAAGGUUCUACAGUAAUUUCAUAGAAAAAGUGGUAAAUAACUAUAAGGCAACAUUAGUAGAGGCAUUCCAAACUCCCAUCAGUGCCAUAUACAUAUUGUGAGGAGCAUUAGUUUCACAUCAUCCCUAGCAUUACCUGAUGUAGAUUUAAAUUUUACCGAAUGUGUAAUUUCAUUUAGUUUUAUAAUUUAUAAAUGUAUUUUUAUUUGUUUGUUUGUUUUUUGAGACAGAAUCUCACUCUGUUGCCCAAACUGAAGUGCAGUGGCAGGAUCUCGG
rnacentral:lncRNA from 10 species